rnacentral:rRNA from 1 species
AUUGAACGCUGGCGGCAGGCCUAACACAUGCAAGUCGGACGGUAGCACAGAGGAGCUUGCUCCUUGGGUGACGAGUGGCGGAUGGGUGAGUAAUGUCUGGGGAUCUGCCCGAUAGAGGGGGAUAACCACUGGAAACGGUGGCUAAUACCGCAUAACGUCGCAAGACCAAAGAGGGGGACCUUCGGGCCUCUCACUAUCGGAUGAACCCAGAUGGGAUUAGCUAGUAGGUGGGGUAAUGGCCCACCUAGGCGACGAUCCCUAGGUGGUCUGAGAGGAUGACCAGCCACACUGGAACUGAGACACGGUCCAGACUCCUACGGGAGGCAGCAGUGGGGAAUAUUGCACAAUGGGCGCAAGCCUGAUGCAGCCAUGCCGCGUGUAUGAAGAAGGCCUUCGGGUUGUAAAGUACUUUCAGCAGGGAGGAAGGCGGUGAAGUUAAUAGCUUCACCGAUUGACGUUACCCGCAGAAGAAGCACCGGCUAACUCCGUGCCAGCCGCCGCAGUAA